UUACAGUAUACAAACAAACUAACAAUUUUCAUUUCAUAUUUUCAAAGGAAAAUCACAGAGAGUUCAAAACAAAUAGUCAACCAAAAGCCAUCAUUCUCACUUAAUCAGAAGUCACAAAAUACAAGAAAAUCAAGGAUGAAGACAACUUCAUAUUUUAACCAAUGAUCCAAAUAUACAAGAUAACUCACAUGUUGAUCGAACUCCUGCCUUCGCUGCUUAGUCGUCGUCUGCCACCACUAUCAUCGUCGCAGCAGAACCCCAACACCAUCGUCGUCGCCGUGCUCCGCCGUGACCCGCCGCCGCUGCGGCUCUGGUUUGUCGCCGUCGGUCGUCAUCACCAGCUCACUCUUUCUUUCUCUCUGUGUCGUUUCUCCGUCUGGUCGCCGCCAUCGCCGCCGUGGUGGCGGCGUUGUUGCUGCUGUUGUUCUCUGCUGCCACUGAGAGUCUCACCGGAGACGAAACCGGGUGGGAAUGGUGUAAGGGGGAGCAUGAGGUGUUGUGGGUGUGCGGUUGCCGGUGAACAAGAGGGCGGAGCUAGAUGAAGAUGAUGUUCUUGAAUUCUGGUGUAUGGAUCUUGAAUUUUGGGGAAAAUUGAAUAUGGAAUAAUGGAAUAUGAUGAUGGAUCUGGGUUAUUUGAAGAUGAUGAUGAUGAUAAUUUGAUUUUAUAAAUAAUGAUAAUAAUAAUAAUAAUAAUAAUAAUAAUAAUAAUAAUAAUAAAUAUGGGGUAAGAUUACCAAAAUACCCUUACCUAUAACAGUCAAAUAACUGUUGACUGACGGCAGGGGGUAAAAUUGCGACAGAACAGCAACGUUGGGGGGGGCAAAUUGCAAUUAUUUCCAUGGAGAGGGUCAGAGUGCCAAUUGGCUUAAACCCCAGGGGGUAAAAUUGCAUUUACUCUUUUAUUUAUUUAUUUUAUAUUUUACAAAACAAGAAUGAAAUCCAUGUAUUUUUACCUUUAAGUUCGUUAAAAUUAUUUAAAACGAUUUAAAUAGAUGUUAAUUUUCAUGGCACCGAGUAAGAGAAAAAAAAUACAAUCUCUUAAAAAAGGUUUGAAACUUGGUUAAGGAGAACAAUGAAAAAAAAAAUGCUGGAAAACCCUGACAAGGGAUAAGGAAAAAAAAACAUGAAAACUGCAAAGAAGGUUUGUUUGAACCCUGGUCAAUUGAUUAUUGUUUACUUAAGCAACACAACAAAUUCUCUGGGGUAAUCAUUAAAAAACUUGGGAAUUCCCCUAUAUAUUAAAAACUCAAAGCUUUGAACAGUAACGAAGGGUAUUUUAGGGAUUUCCAACGCUUCCUGUCAUUUUUUUGCUGUAUGAACACAUAGACUAGGAUUAGAGAGAAGAGUAAGAGAGAGACAGGUUAGAGGUGGAGAGAAAGGCAGAGUCGUCGUCCGGCUGGCCACCCUCUUGGCAGUGAUGUUGGUUGGGUGGUUUUGACGCGGCAAACGGUAGAGAAAGCAGCGAUGGACAGAGAGAGAGAGAGAGGGGAGCGGCGGUGAUGGAAAAACCGGCCACGUCUCCGACCGGCCACCCAUGGUGGUGGUGACGGCGACCGUGACGGUUGUGGUUUCUAGGUUUCGACAUUCUGGUGGAUUCCCAAGCCUAAAAGACCAGUGUGAGUCACAGAACCCCGAAUAUGGCCAGCCAGAGGCGUUGAGAGAGGAGAUGGAGGAGUUGCCGGCGGGAGAUUGGGAAUUACAGAAAUGCCUAUGGUGACCGUCCGUCGCUUUCUUUGUAAGGGGGCGGUGGUAGAAAACCACCAAACCCUUCAAACAUCAAUCUCGUCGGUAUCAUAUCAGAGAAAGAGAGAGCGCAAUAGAAGAAUGCACAGAGAGAACCUUUUCCACGGUGGGUUGCGACGGUGUUUCAUGGCAGUGGUUCUGCCGCCGGUGAUGGCGAUAGUUUGUCGAAGAAGACGCCGUUGCAUCCGGUGGUCCGGCGCGACAGCGCACAACGGAGGUUCACACAUAGAAAACUGCUUAUUGGGCUUCUAAAAAAUGUCGGUUACCUCCACACUAAUGGCGGAGACAUCAAGUGCGAAAUCAUGCGUGAUGAAGUGCUUAACGCAUCAGAGGUUAGUUAUAUAGGGCUUAUCUGAUGGCGAUGAUAGUGGUAAAGAGCUAUUGGUUAUGGUAUGUAUCUAGCCAUCAUUGGUGAUAGGGGUCGGAAACGCCGGUGACAAACACUAAAAUGGUGAUUGUGGAUGGAGUGUAGUCGCCUAGAACGAUUGUUGGCAGACAUGUUUAUUUCUUUUACUGAUGGGUUUAUCAUAUACUAAAGUGUAGCUGGCUUGACAUAUAUAUAGUCAUUGUAUGCUGAAAGAAUUAGGGCUUUUGAAAUCUGAAUUUGAUUGACCCACUUCUUUCUUCUGUUGGUCGACUUGGUAUGCUGAUAUGCAUUCUAAGAUUGUGUA